AGGGACCCCAAGGAAAACCCGGUUUGCCUGGGAUGCCCGGGUCCGACGGCGCCCCCGGUCACCCCGGCAAGGAGGGACCCCCAGGCUCCAAAGGGCACCAGGGUCCUUCAGGUCCUCAAGGUCCCAUUGGCUACCCGGGGUCACGUGGUGUCAAGGGGGCAGACGGCAUCCGGGGCCUCAAAGGACACAAGGGAGAGAAGG